AGUUAGGCAUUGUAAUUCAUUUGUGAUGGGUGUAAUAGACUGUACAGGGGUGUGAUAGUCAUACCAUAGUCAUGGACCCUUUAAUUCCUCCAGCGCUGCAAGCCAGGAGUCCGAAAUUCUUGCUCUCGCAGAGGAGGACAUGUGCAACCACCUCAGCCAUCAGGUCUUUUGAGGUUGAAGACUACAGAACCUUAUCGUUUUUGUUUGAAUGUUUUCACAGGUGCAGGAGUGGAACAACAGAGUGCCGGAGGGAGAUGGAGUCACUGUAACGCUGUCCAAAGGAGCUAUUCAGUUAAGCAGAAAAGAAGAACAUGUAAGACCACACACUACACAACACACUAUAAGUUCAUUAUCAGUCUUGUGACAGCGAACACUUGUAAUAUAUGAAAUUUUUGCCUUAGUGGUUGGACUGAUACUUUGUUAAUAUCCGGCCAGAAUAUUUAAAGGCCCAAACUCCAGAGAGAGACGACAGGGGCCGGUUCUUCCUGGGAGCUUCAGGAGUCCCUCUUAGCAACCCGACAGCCGAUUUGCAAAGGCUAUGACAAAAGUAUGUCAUGAGGCUUCAGGAGAGAUGUCCCCAGCUCAUCUGCGGAAGGGGAGGCACCACACAUGCCGGAGAGGACAGCGGCACCUACCGCAGCAGCCCAGCUCCCGACUCCUCGGUUUUGGGGUGCCUUUGAGGACCGGUUUCCCGUUACCCUUCACGGAAAGCCUCCGACAAGGGCGCAGGCAGCAGAUGUAGGAUUUAUGGACCGCAGCUACUACCACUACUGGGGGUGCAGUAUAUUCUCGGUAAGUGCUUAAAAUGGUGCCAAUCACAUUAUGGUCUACUUUAAGUGAGCUGUGUUUGGUUAAAACUCAUCUCAGUCCUGUUCCUCAGAGCAGUCCACUGGCAGGGCCAGCCAAAAACCCCUGGCAUCUCACGUCCAGCAUGCCAUUGCCAAGGAGAAUGCGUGGACCACCAACGUGCCCUCCGUAGACGGUGUUCUGCUGGCGUGGGUGCCCUUCCAGGAGCCAUCGGCUGCAGAGAAUGAUCCUGUGAUCAUUGCCUCCGUGGUCCAGCAGAAAUGGAAAGGGUUGGCCAUUAAGUCCUUUGAGGGGAAAGGCAAAGGUUUGUCACAGUUUUGACUACUCAGUUUUUAAAAAAACGAUUGUAAUCUUAUUUUAAUUUGGUAAAGAGUGAAGUGGAUUGCUCAAUAGCACGUUGAUUUACCUUU
rnacentral:lncRNA from 1 species